AGAGUUUGAUCCUGGCUCAGAUUGAACGCUGGCGGCAGGCCUAACACAUGCAAGUCGAGCGGUAGCACAGAGAGCUUGCUCUCGGGUGACGAGCGGCGGACGGGUGAGUAAUGUCUGGGAAACUGCCUGAUGGAGGGGGAUAACUACUGGAAACGGUAGCUAAUACCGCAUAACGUCGCAAGACCAAAGUGGGGGACCUUCGGGCCUCAUGCCAUCAGAUGUGCCCAGAUGGGAUUAGCUGGUAGGUGGGGUAACGGCUCACCUAGGCGACGAUCCCUAGCUGGUCUGAGAGGAUGACCAGCCACACUGGAACUGAGACACGGUCCAGACUCCUACGGGAGGCAGCAGUGGGGAAUAUUGCACAAUGGGCGCAAGCCUGAUGCAGCCAUGCCGCGUGUGUGAAGAAGGCCUUCGGGUUGUAAAGCACUUUCAGCGGGGAGGAAGGCGGUGAGGUUAAUAACCUCACCGAUUGACGUUACCCGCAGAAGAAGCACCGGCUAACUCCGUGCCAGCAGCCGCGGUAAUACGGAGGGUGCAAGCGUUAAUCGGAAUUACUGGGCGUAAAGCGCACGCAGGCGGUCUGUCAAGUCGGAUGUGAAAUCCCCGGGCUCAACCUGGGAACUGCAUUCGAAACUGGCAGGCUAGAGUCUUGUAGAGGGGGGUAGAAUUCCAGGUGUAGCGGUGAAAUGCGUAGAGAUCUGGAGGAAUACCGGUGGCGAAGGCGGCCCCCUGGACAAAGACUGACGCUCAGGUGCGAAAGCGUGGGGAGCAAACAGGAUUAGAUACCCUGGUAGUCCACGCUGUAAACGAUGUCGAUUUGGAGGUUGUGCCCUUGAGGCGUGGCUUCCGGAGCUAACGCGUUAAAUCGACCGCCUGGGGAGUACGGCCGCAAGGUUAAAACUCAAAUGAAUUGACGGGGGCCCGCACAAGCGGUGGAGCAUGUGGUUUAAUUCGAUGCAACGCGAAGAACCUUACCUGGUCUUGACAUCCACAGAACUUUCCAGAGAUGGAUUGGUGCCUUCGGGAACUGUGAGACAGGUGCUGCAUGGCUGUCGUCAGCUCGUGUUGUGAAAUGUUGGGUUAAGUCCCGCAACGAGCGCAACCCUUAUCCUUUGUUGCCAGCGGUCCGGCCGGGAACUCAAAGGAGACUGCCAGUGAUAAACUGGAGGAAGGUGGGGAUGACGUCAAGUCAUCAUGGCCCUUACGACCAGGGCUACACACGUGCUACAAUGGCAUAUACAAAGAGAAGCGACCUCGCGAGAGCAAGCGGACCUCAUAAAGUAUGUCGUAGUCCGGAUUGGAGUCUGCAACUCGACUCCAUGAAGUCGGAAUCGCUAGUAAUCGUAGAUCAGAAUGCUACGGUGAAUACGUUCCCGGGCCUUGCACACAACGCCCGUCA
rnacentral:rRNA from 1 species